UGGGCAGUGAACCCAGACUGGUGGCAUCCCU
rnacentral:piRNA from 1 species